rnacentral:rRNA from 1 species
CGAUGCCUUACACAUGCAAGUCGAACGGUAACGGGCCUUCGGGUGCCGACGAGUGGCGAACGGGUGAGUAAUGCAUCGGAACGUACCUUUCAGUGGGGAUAACGUAGCGAAAGUUACGCUAAUACCGCAUAUUCUGUGAGCAGGAAAGCAGGGGAUCGCAAGACCUUGCGCUGAUUGAGCGGCCGAUGUCAGAUUAGCUAGUUGGUGAGGUAAAGGCUCACCAAGGCGACGAUCUGUAGCGGGUCUGAGAGGAUGAUCCGCCACACUGGAACUGAGACACGGUCCAGACUCCUACGGGAGGCAGCAGUGGGGAAUUUUGGACAAUGGGGGCAACCCUGAUCCAGCCAUGCCGCGUGAGUGAAGAAGGCCUUCGGGUUGUAAAGCUCUUUCGGCCGGGAAGAAAUCGCAUGGGUUAAUACCCUGUGCGGAUGACGGUACCGGCAUAAGAAGCACCGGCUAACUACGUGCCAGCAGCCGCGGUAAUACGUAGGGUGCGAGCGUUAAUCGGAAUUACUGGGCG